UCUUUAGCGAGGAUUCAUUGCAUGGCAAGUAUGUAUGAUUCCAACAGCUGCAUAAUUCUAGUUGUAAUGACGAAUAUGUGAAUGUUGUAUAGGUUAAAAAGCUCGCUAUUGGAUUUCAGCUCUAAAGGGAUGGUCCGCUUAUCGGAUGUUGUACUUACAUUUUUUUGGUAAUUUGGCCGGUAUCUUCAAAAUGAUCUUCACCGAUUGUUCAGAGUGUGGUCGGCGGCUAUACGUUGAAAAAAUUAGGGUGCUUACAGUAGGCGCUACGCUUGGAUAAUGGCGCAUGGAACAAUAGAUUAGGACAUCAGUGCUAUUUUGUUGGCCUUUGGAGCCGGAGGUCUUGUGAUUAAAGGAAACCGACGACAGCAUUGAUAUUGCUAUGAUAAAGAUAAAAAUCUUGGAUCGUUGAAGACGAACCGCCAUGUAAACCUUUGCUAAGAAUAUUUCCAGCAACCAAGAACAUAAGUUAAUAUUUGAAACAAGAUUAAAUUCCUCCUUUAGUUCUAACCAUGGGCGAUGCCAGCAAUCGAUCCGGUCU